AACGCACGAGACCUGCGGACCUGCGGAAGGAUCAUUAACGAGUGUAACUUACCCUUUUUUUUAAAAGAGGGUAGUACCUCCUGUCCUUUGUAGGCCCCUUUUUAUUGGGGGGCUUUUUAAGACUUUCUGCUUCGGCGGGGUUAUUCCCGCCGGAACACCCUCAAAAAACUCUUCAAAAACUAAUUCAGUCCGAGAAUUUUUGAAAAUAAAAAAAACUUUCAACAACGGAUCUCUAGAUCG
rnacentral:misc_RNA from 1 species